UACAGAGGUCCCAAGCGUUGUUCGGAUUCACUGGGCGUAAAGGGUGCGUAGGUGGUUGUGCAAGUCUGAUGUGAAAUCUCCGGGCUUAACCCGGAAAUGGCAUUGGAAACUGCAUAGCUAGAGGGUUGGAGGGGGGGGACUGGAAUACUUGGUGUAGCAGUGAAAUGCGUAGAUAUCAAGUGGAACACCAGUGGCGAAGGCGAGUCCCUGGACAACACCUGACACUGAGGCACGAAAGCUAGGGGAGCAAACAGG
rnacentral:rRNA from 1 species